CCUACGGGCGGCAGCAGUGGGGAAUAUUGCACAAUGGGGGAAACCCUGAUGCAGCGACGCCGCGUGAGUGAAGAAGUAUUUCGGUAUGUAAAGCUCUAUCAGCAGGGAAGAAAAUGACGGUAACUGAUUCAGAAGCCCAGGCUAACUACGUCCCAGCAGCCGCGGUAAUACGUAGGGGGCAAUCGUUAUCCGGAUUUACUGGGUGUAAAGGGAGCGUAGACGGCAGCACAAGUCUGGAGUGAAAUGCCGGGGCUUAACCCCGGAACUGCUUUGGAAACUGGGCAGCUAGAGUGCAGGAGAGGUAAGUGGAAUUCCUAGUGUAGCGGUGAAAUGCGUAGAUAUUAGGAGGAACACCAGUGGCGAAGGCGGCUUACUGGACUGUAACUGACGUUGAGGCUCGAAAGCGUGGGGAGCAAACAGGAUUAGAUACCCCUGUAGUC
rnacentral:rRNA from 1 species